AUUGAACGCUGGCGGCAUGCCUUACACAUGCAAGUCGAACGGCAGCGGGCCUUCGGGUGCCGGCGAGUGGCGAACGGGUGAGUAAUGCAUCGGAACGUGCCAUUGAGUGGGGGAUAACGUAGCGAAAGUUGCGCUAAUACCGCAUAUUCUGUGAGCAGGAAAGCAGGGGACCGCAAGACCUUGCGCUCUUUGAGCGGCCGAUGUCAGAUUAGCUAGUUGGUGAGGUAAAGGCUUACCAAGGCGACGAUCUGUAGCGGGUCUGAGAGGAUGAUCCGCCACACUGGAACUGAGACACGGUCCAGACUCCUACGGGAGGCAGCAGUGGGGAAUUUUGGACAAUGGGGGCAACCCUGAUCCAGCCAUGCCGCGUGAGUGAAGAAGGCCUCGG
rnacentral:rRNA from 1 species